GGCCGAAAGAAUAAUCCUAUCAAGAUGUCAAUCCCCAUUUCAUUAAUAUUUUUAAUUAUUCCAUAUCGGAAAUAUCAUUAUAAUACCUCUCCCCUAAAACUUGGAACGGAAUGCUGACACUAAUAAAUUUUAAUUAGUGUUAUUAGUCUCCCAUAUCUGGAUCGGCUAAUCAAGUUCAUUGUAAAUGUCAAAAUUAAUACCACUGAUUGAUGUCAUUGACUAUUUCUAACUUGAAAUAGCCAAUCAGAUUUUUCUUUUCAUAAUAUCUUGGAAUAUUUCCGGAAAUGUUGAUGUCAAGAUUCUUGACAUCAUUAGCUUUCACUUCAGGAAUAGCUAGUCAAGUUUCAUGUGAUUGCCGAUAUCAACAACACCGGUCGAUAUCAUUAACUAUUCUCACCCGAAUAGUUAAUCAAAUUCAGUAUCCCUCAUUUUCAGGGAUGAUUAUGCCGAUGUUAGUAAACCUUACUAACAUCAUUAGCCUCCGCAUUCAGGAUUGGCUAAUCAAGUUUCGUGUGAUUGCCGAUAUCGACAGCACCGGUCAAUAUCAUUAACUAUUCUCACCCGAAUAGUUAAUCAAGUUCAGUAUCCCUCGUUUUCAGGGAUGAUUAUGCCGAUGGAUUAUUAUGCCGAUGUUAGUAAACCUUACUAACAUCAUUAGCCUCCGCAUUCAGGACCGGCUAAUCAAGUUUCGUGUGAUUGCUGAUAUCGACAGCACCGGUCAAUAUCAUUAACUAUUCUCACCCGAAUAGUUAAUCAAGUUCAAUAUCCCUCAUUUUCAGGGAUGAUUAUGCCGAUGUUAGUAAACCUUACUAACAUCAUUAGCCUCCGCAUUCGGGACCGGCUAAUCAAGUUCGAGGAAUGAUCAUCUACGUAAAAAGUGUAGGUAUAGAACACCUACCAGCUGCAGAAGCUCAACUCGCUCUUCCUUGUUGUUGUUGUGCCCCUCCUGCAAUCCCUCCUUAAGCUCCUACUACACGAGCUCUUGAGAAGUCGAGUGAAUGCUUCUCCUACUUUUUUAAUAUAACAUCUUGAAUCAAUAUUUGAAUCUUCCCGAUUUAUUCAUAAUAUUCAUAAAUUCACAAAAUCAAAUAACAAUUUCCAUGGAUGUUCAAAGACAUGAAUUCUCGUCACCGAUUUUCUAAUGUCCCAAGACAUUUAAUCUAUCACCAAACAAUGUAAUUUAACUUAAAUUUCAUCAAUGACUACACAUGCCAAAUUUUUCCAAAGCACACUCAAAAUGAUUCCUUAUAUCAUAAUUCAACUUACAACAUCCUUUACCAUGAUUUCCCAUUCCAACAUAACCAAAGUAUUAAUCAAUCACUAUUCUUUAUAGAAUUUAACUAUACCAUCACUUAUCAACACAUCAAACAUGACUCAAACACAACACAAACACAACCAUCAUCAUUAAACCUAUUGCCAUUAUCCUUAGUCCCAAAACAUACUUUUUAUGCUAAAGCUCAGAUUCUCAUUCAAUAUUUCUCAAACCAAACUUAAAACAUCAUUCUGUAAAUUUAGAAUUCAAUAAAUCCAAACGGUGUAAUUAUACAUCAUCAUCGUUAGAAUAACAUAUCCAAAAUUAACAUACAUCCAACGGUUAAAUCUCCUGAUAUCAGAACAAUACCGGACUGACCUGAAAAUUGGAGACCUACUGUUCGGGAAAUACAGUUUCUGGUAGGAGUGUUUGUUUCCGAUCGUAACCGUUCAGAAUUUAUAUAACAUCUGGAUUAACAACAUAUCCAAAAUCCAGACCAAUCCAACGGUGAAAAAAUGAUAUAAUGUCCGACGAACAAGGCUGUCUUGAAGGGUGAUUUUCCAGAAAUGUUCCUCCGGUGACAGCCCUCAAACAAAGUCUGCUAUUUACAAUCCCUCCGGUCAGAAUGUAGGUGACAUUGAGUAUAAUAACAUAUCCAAAAGUAAAUCUAAUCCAACGGUGGAAAGUCAAAAUAUGGCUGCCGAAGUUCCUGCCCUGUUGCAAUCCCAAAACUCAUAAUUUCAAAUCAAUUUAUUCCUUCAAUUUUUCAGCAAAUCAAGCCAUUAUCAUGCAAUUAAUCUUGAAAUUCACAAGAAUAAUUACUCCCCCAAAAUAUUUACAUGAACCCUAAAAUUUUAAACUUGGAGGUUUUCUUCUCCUCAUGCAAGAACAAGAGAGAAAAACGAAAUUACUAAAGGGUAUGUUGCUUACCUUUGCUACUUUAACUUAUUUCAAUGAAUUCUUGCAAAAAUUUACAAAAAUCAUGUCCUCCUCUUCCAAUUUCCAGCUUCUUCCCUUUGUUUCUCUCAAGCUCUAUAACUCUUUAAGUUGUCACUUAAUUUGUUUUCUUGGAUAUAAUCCUCCAGAGAACACUCACUUUUGAUUUAGCUUGAAGAAAUGAAGAGAAAAUGAAGAAAAUGGGACAAAACAAAUGGUCUCCCUCCUGUUUUUCCAUUUGCAGAGGACG
rnacentral:lncRNA from 1 species